GGGAGAAGGACGGGAGGAAGGGGAAAGGGGAAGGGGAAGGAAAGAGAGAGAAAGAAAGAAGGUAGCGGCAGCGCGCACACUCUCACACCCCCGCUGGAAAAAUGUGAGCUUUCGGUGAAUACGACGAGACUGCUUGUUUUCCCCCGCAAUGAUCACUGCGUUUCUCAAGCAGUUUGCACCUACUUACGGACCUCGCAUCUUCAGCCUUGGAUCUUAAAGGAACUGAUAACUCCUCUUCCAGAAAACUGUUCGGUAACAGGUUUCCUGCCCCGGGCUUUACAAGGAUCGCUCUUGUCUCAGAGCCACCGUGUACGUACGAUUCUUUUUUUCACGGAUUUUGGUGGGGUUUUUUUUUGUUUUUUUUUUGUUUUGUUUUUUGUUUUUUGUUUUUUUUUUUUGCGGGGGGUGGGGGAGGGCGUUAUAUAUUUUUCUGUUACCUUUUCUGCCUGUGAAGUAAUCAGGGAGAACGGCGGGAGGCUCCAUAAAUAUGCAAAUUGGCGCCAGAUAACUGGUUUCGCUGGUUCCGCCUUGGGACUCCCGCCGGGCGGCUCCGCGGGGGAGAUUGUCGCCCCCGGCCCCACGACCCGCCCCCUCUCCCCCCUCCCCGCGCCGGGCACCGCUCUCCGAGCGCGGUCCUUCCCCUCUCCCCGCCGCUGCCGCAGCUCUUCGACGCGUGCCCGCGCCUUCCAGCUCCCUGGCAGCGUCCCGAAGGAGCACCGCGUCUCGUGGCUGCUGGGUGUCACGGGGCAAAAAGUGCGGUAGGCUGAACCGUGCUCGGGCCCUUAUCCUUUCUAACUCGGCAUCCGAAGGAUUAAAAGCAGUAACUGGCUUCCGAAUUGUAAAAUGUUAAAAUGAAAGUUUGAUUCGUGGUUAAACACUCGCGGGAGCGCAUCCUUUGUGGAUUCUGAUUUGACUCUGCUGUUAAACCGACAUCGGUACUGCGCUGACGCUUUAAUUAAUAAAAGUGGUUAGAGUCCUCUCUGUCAUCUCGUUGCUUACCAGCCUCCACACAAACCGUUUCAAGAUUCUGUCUAAAUAGGAGAAUGAGAAGGGAAACAUAAGCCGCCAAAGUUACUUUGAAGGCAGAGAAGCCAGGCGGCUGACACUGAGAGGCAGGGUUUGGUCUGCAGCUCUCCGCAAUCGUCGCAGCUCCCCGCCGCGGAAGCCCGCCCGGCAGCCCGUGCUGCGACGGCACUGCGCUCGCGGAGCGCAGAGGGUGGGAGGGGAGAGGCGCUGCCACUGCCCCCGAGAUUCCCUGUGCCUGUGGAGCCGGGCCUCGCUGGGAAGGAGACGGGGGCGGCCAGAUGGACAAAGGCUGUGGGCAGAUCCGCCUCCGUGUGAGGUAGGGCGGGCGGCAAUGGCCUCGUCCGCGGAGAAGGAAUCUGGACUGCAGACUGGAGGCAGCAAUGGGGGUUACUGUUAAAGUUCAGAGUUAGCCAUUACUGAAAAUCUCAAGUAACUUCUCUGAACCGGAUUUAAGACUUCUUUUUUUUCAUGUUAACUCCAGGUUUGAUUGCCGGAAAAGGCUGACUACUAGAAUAGCAAAACCAGUCCGCCAUCCAGCAGUUGGGAAUCAAGGCCCUUCUUUACCAGAGCCCCAGCCACAUCCAUACUGUCACCCACCUUCCAGACACUCGGCACAACCAUUCACCCUAUUGAAUCAUGAGACUGUUUGAUCUUAUCUGCAUCUGUGAGCUGACUGUCAACCUGCUUACACUGCAUAUUAAAUCAUCUAUAGUAGCUGUAUCAAGCUGGGAUGAUCUGUUAAUUCUAAAUUUACUAACCCUUCGAGUGCAGUCGUUGUGUUUAAUCUAGUGUAGCCAGCAUUUAUUUUACAAGUCUAAAUCCUUCUUCAAGAUAUGUCUGUGCUGUAGGUUAAAAAAUCAUUAAUGUGUAGGAGAUGGUAAUUGGGAAGAGUUCACUUUGAUCUUUGGAAGCCAGUUGACAGCUUCACUGCUCCAAACACAUACGUGUGUGCUCUCACCACUCUCGCGUGCCCGGCGUGCUGGAUGUGUGCAUGCAUACGCACCUAAUGACACUUCCUUGCAGAAAGAGUUUUGCAUGAGACAAGGAAGAAGAGAGGCCUCAGACAAUGCCUUCAUUCCACGUCUCCAUGAAGACUUAUAAUCGAGAGGCAAAUUCCUGGUGCUGCAGCGCAGUGAGAGCAUGUGGCUGCAGGCAGAGCCCUGCGCCAGGAGGGCCAACAAACCUCCCUUCGAGGCAGCACCCAGCUUGAUGAAUGCCUGCAGCCAUUGCCAGCACCGGACAUCCCCACACACUGAGGACCACAGCCCCUGCCAGGCUUGAGAAAGGUCAAGUGCUGCUGUCCGCACCUCAACCAGCGUGCCCCCUCCUAGACACAGAUACAUACACAAAAAAUUGCAUGCAGAUAUGUACAUACAUCUAAAUAUGUUAAUCUGUUCACUGUACACACCCAUCUCUCCCUGUCCCACUCUCCUGUUAUCUAUUAUUCUUGCACGCUGCUGAUGGCAUCAACAUAUUCACAGCUUUUAUUUCAGUCACAAACUGGUAGGCAUGCUUCCUUUUUUGGUAAUCACAUGCCUGGUAUCUCUCUAAUGUAGCCUAAUAACAAUUUUAGCAUUCAGAUAAAAAGAUUUCAUUCUGUGAUUGCCUUUUCUAUUAGAUUUGAUUCUGAGAAGCCCCAGUGGGUGCCUCCGAGGCAGAGAUCUAUCUGUGAGGCUGCAACCGAUUCAAUAGCAGCCUGAGCUAACCUUGACCUUUCCCUAGACCCUACUCCAUCUGGUGCCAGCCUGGUCCCCCCCUUCUCCUCCUCCUUGCUUCACAGGCAGCAUUGAUCAAGACGAAAUCGAGCGGCUCUCUCCCUCGGAGGGCUGGGCAGUCACAGGAAGGACAGCACAUUUCACUAUAUGGAGACAACUGAGCUUCUUAUGCAAUCAUAUAUCUACAUAGAGGCUUCUGAUUUGAUAUUUCCUUCACUUCCUAAGGUUCUCCCCUCCCUCCCCCAGCAGGGAUUUAUAAACUAUAAGACAACCGCUUUCCCCAACACCUGGAAAUUAUAAAGCUGGCUGUUGGGAACGCAUCCUGGCGAUUUGAUCUGAUUUACUUGGCUUCUUAUUUAUUUCCUUGCAGCUCGCUCCAUCUUUUUCCUGCGUCCGUGGUUCUGUAUCUCUGUCUCUUCUUUCUGUUAUUUUCCCCUGUUCGGCGGCGGCCUUUAUUCAUCUCCUCGGGGAUGCCGGGUGCCGCUGUGGGUAGGCUGGAGGGGCCAGCUGGUGGCUGGCCGGCUCGGGAGGACCGGCUCCCUCCGAACCCCGGCACCGACUGUCGGCUCUCUCGGCCGCGUUUCUCUGUCUGGAAAUGAGAAGAGGCUCCCGCGAUCAAUCGGCACUCAGCACUUCGUGCUUCGUUUUCUUCCCCUCUUCUCCGCUCUGCCGCUGCACCUGGCCCCCAGCGCUGCCUGGCCCCCAGAGCUCAAGCGGAAUUGCGCCGUGCCCCACGGCCCCGCACCGCCCCACGGCCCCGCGCAGCCCCGCGCCGCUCGCCGAGGCGUUCCGACGCGCUCCCGCCCCCGUUCCCUCUUCGGCAGCAGCCGCGCUGGGGUUCGCCUCGCGGACAACCGCCGCGUCCGCGCUCUCAUCUCCUCUCAUCUCCGUGUGGGUUCCUUAAUUGCCAGGACGUUCGUUUACAAUCCGCGAUCUGCUUUUGCUUCCCAAGAAUUGUAGCAUGACCGCGUUUUCUCAUCUCACACCAGUCUUCAGAUUAUAUAACAGAUGAUGCAAAAUUAUAAUGACGAUCUAAUCUAUGCACACUGUAAUUAUAGAGUUUCCUGCACACACACAGCUCUUGCAGUAUCUGCAGAGCUGACAACUGGCUGUAGAUGCAGAGUACAAAAGAUAGAGACUGAUAUUUGGACCCACAUAUGUUUAAGAGAGAGAUAUUACUUAAUGGGAGAAGGGAUCUGGAAAUGCAUUUCUCUUUCUUCUGAGGAAUUUGUUUUGCUUUAUCUCCAUCGGUUGUAAUAGGAAGAAACUGUGAAUUACGCUGAAAAAAAAAAAAAGACAUAUACUCAAUUUAUCAGUUUACUAUUACAUUUCCUAUCUCCAGUGUUACAAAGAUUUAGAACAUUUCCAAAACUUUUGGAUCUAAUCUGUGUUUUGUGCAGCCUACAGUUUGUUUGCAGGACCUGCCACCACACGCCAGCCAAAAAUGAGUGUCAAUUAAUAACAAAAAACUCCCUUCCUUCCUUAUUUCUGCACUCUCAUACCUUAACGGAUAAAACUACUGAUGGUGAGAAUUUUCCAUUACCAACAGUUUUUAUUCUAAAGCACCAAAGCUUCCCCACAUAGAGCUGCUGAAUAUUUCCUUGCUUUUCCCAGUGGCAAUUUACGCACACCACUGCUCAUUUGAAAUAUAAAGAAUAUUCAGCACUUUCGGGAGUGUUUUUUCUGCUACCCAGAUCAGCCAGUAGAACCAAUUGCAAAUCCAGUGACUGCACUGUGCUGUUUGUGGCGUUCCAAAUUAGAAAUCAUUUGAAACCAGAAGUAGGAGGGUUUGUUGGUUUUGUCUUUUUUUUUUCUACUGUUUUCUACAACGUCAGAAGUAACUGAAAAAACAUUCACCCUUGUGACACAACAGAAUUUAUGAGCUCUUUUCUUUCUGAGCUACCUGAGCAGUCCUGUCAUCCCUGCAGAAAUGCCCAUGUGUGGGUUGCUGUUUAAAACCGUAUUCUACUUAUCAAUAAAAUGUGAAAUGGCUUAAAAAAC
ensembl:lncRNA